CCGACGGUGAGGGGUGAAAGCUGGGGGAGCAAACCGGAUUAGAUACCCGGGUAGUCCCAGCUGUAAACGAUGCGCGUUAGGUGUGUCAGUGACCACGUGUCACUGAUGUGCCGAAGGGAAACCGUGAAACGCGCCGCCUGGGGAGUACGGUCGCAAGGCUGAAACUUAAAGGAAUUGGCGGGGGAGCACCACGACGGGUGGAGCCUGCGGUUUAAUCGGACUCAACGCCGGAAAUCUCACCGGAUAA
rnacentral:rRNA from 1 species